AAGUGUCCAAAAUUCCUGGGCCUGAAAGUGCUGCUCAGCAGUGACAGAAAAAAACGGGUAAACCAAGCCCCAAAUGUCUUCUGCCAAAAGGUCCUGAAUCUUUUAAUGCUGAUUAUAAGCUUCAUGAUCAAGAUGGCAUCAAUAGCAAUGUUGUCACAGGAAUCCGCACAGCUGAUGGCAAAGAGGUCACCAUCAAGCGUGUGGAGUUGGAUGACAAAGACGUUAUUCAUUAU